rnacentral:misc_RNA from 1 species
GAUGAAGAACGCAGCGAAAUGCGAUAAUUAAUGUGAAUUGCAGAAUUCAGUGAAUCAUCGAAUCUUUGAACGCACAUUGCGCCCGCCAGUAUUCUGGCGGGCAUGCCUGUUCGAGCGUCAUUUCAACCCUCAGGGCCCUUUUGGACCUGGCGUUGGGGCUCGGCCGCUACCCUGCGGCCGUCCCCGAAAGAUAGUGGCGGUCUCGCUGUAGCCUCCUCUGCGUAGUAGUUACAUCUCGCACUGGAACGCGGCGCGGCCAUGCCGUUAAACACCCCACUUCUCAAGGUUGACCUCGGAUCAGGUAGGAAUACCCGCUGAACUUAAGCAUAUCAAUAAGCGGAGGA